UGACCCUAUGGAAGCAGAAGAAGCUGAGGAUGAAGAAGAUGAUAGGGAUGAGGAAGAAAUGACCAAACGAGAUGACAAAAGAGAUAUCAACAGAUACUGCAAGGAGAGGCCCUCUAAAGAUAAGGAAAAAGAAAAGACUCAAAUGAUCACAAUUAACAGAGAUCUGUUAAUGGCUUUUGUUUAUUUUGAUCAAAGUCAUUGUGGUUACCUUCUUGAAAAGGAUUUGGAAGAAAUACUUUAUACUCUUGGACUACAUCUUUCUCGGGCUCAGGUAAUCUAUCUUGUGAAUAUUUAAAAGGAAAACAUUUUUUAAAAGUUACCUUUUCCAGUGAAAAGUUAAUAGAACCUCUGUUGACUUUUUGAUAUAUUAAAGCAAUAUAAGGGCCAGGCGUGGUGGCUCACACCUACAAUCCCAGCAGGUUGGGAGGCUGAGGCAGGCAGAUCAGUUGAGGCCAGGAGUUUAAGACCAGCUUGGCCAACAUGGCGUAGCUCCGUCUCUACUAAAAAUACUAAAAUUAGCUGGGUGUGGUGGCACGCACCUGUAAUCCCAGCUACUCGGGAAGCUG
rnacentral:sRNA from 1 species